UCGGUAGUCUAAGGAUUUACGUUGCAGUAUGUUUUUCCUCUUCCUUCGAUCCUUGGCAUUCGUAGAACACAAGCCAUAUGUGAGAUUCCUUGUUAGAGAACUGAAACCCUAAUCGUAAAAACUUUGGGUUGUGUUUUUCGGUUCUUCAGGUAUUUACUAAUUCCUUCUCUAAACGCUUGCGUAAUUUUCUUUUUCAAUUCUGUUUGUGAGCGUUAAUGACUUGCAACAAAUUUGAUUCUCUAAUUUAGAAAGUUAGGAAUUCUGAUUAUAUAUGCGUUCUUGUUCUUCAGUCAUUCAAUGAGACCCAAACACCCCCGGACCCAUGUCUAUCUCUCUAACUACGGUCCCCCGAUACCCAAAUCUACCUCGGCAUGUCUGCAAUCGAAGAUCUGUAAGUUUCAUUAUUUUUAUUCUUUUCUUUAUUUUACGUUUAUAGGGUUUUUCUGUAAUUGAGAAUGAUGACGUGAUUUUAUUUUGUCAAUUAGGGUUUUGAUUUUACUCUUUCUAAUUUAGGAUUCUACUAUCACCCUGUCUUCUUCAUCUUCUUUUCGUUGAUUUUUUUUUUCUGUAAAAUCUGAUUUUUUAGGUUUGUUUCUGUCGUAUUGUGUUGUUGAUCAUUUGAUAGAUAAAGUCUGGUGUGUUUGGUUAGUUUUGUUGCUCGUUUGAGAACUGUCUUGUAGAUUCAAUGUUAGGAAAAAGUAAUUUUAUGAGAUCACCAGAUUUUAUUCAAAUUUAUGUGAUCGUGUAAGACUCCAUAAGUUAAAACUAUAUUUAAUUUGUUUCUUGUAUCUCUUCCUUUGAUCUGCAUAUUACUAAUAUUACUAAUAAUAGAAUUCUGUCAAACUCUUGGAUCUACUCAUAUUUCUAUAUUUAACAUGAAAAUAUAUUUCUAUAUUUAACAUGUAAAUUUUCAUGGCCAUAACAUGAUAACCUCAUUUUCUUGUAUCUUUAAUGGACUCGUGGCUUUAAAGGCAAUGUAGUUGUAGUUCACUCCUAUUGUUAUCUAGUUAUGUUGACCAUUCCUGAUGAUCUGCGUAUUACUUUUAAAUGUCUUUUAUUUGGUACUAAGAAACAUCAUGAAGUGGUUUUUCUUAUGGAAUUAUGGUUUACAACAGUCAUAAAGCAUUAUUUUUCUUUUUUCCUUUUCCUGCUUUUAUCUAAUAAUAUGUGAUCUUUAUUGUGAUUCUACUUGUUACUUGGUGUCUGAAGUUUGCAUACUUACAGAAUUAGGUGAGAUGAACUCCAUCAGUGUUGUGGAAUGAAAUCAUUGUUUAAUAAAAAAAGCAACAAAGUGGAUUCUGAUGGGUCAUCACCUGUAAGUUUUGAUCCCUUUUGUUUUUUAUUUAAAAUCUUGCUUUGAUUUCUUUCAAUUUCAUUAGGGUAUUUCCAUUUUAUUUGUAAUUUUCUAUGUGAUGCUAGGUUAAAGUGGUAGGUGUAAGGCAAUAUCCUUAUAUUAAAUGUGAAACAAUUUACUUAUCAUUACAUAACACUACAAGGAAAACGAUCAUUAGCCGCGACAAAAGUCGUCGGUAAUAAGUCAAGUUGUCGCCGAUAAUAGUAAUAGCGGCGAUGCGUCGCUGGUAGUAAGUUGCUACUACUAUUUCGUCACUAUUGAUGAACUUGUCGCAGCUAAUGAUAGAUGUCGCGAAUAAUGACCGUGUCACCGCUAAUGAUAGAUUUCACCGCUAAUGACCAUGUCGCCGGUAAUAACUCUGUCGCCGGUAAUAGUGUCACCAGUAAUUACAAUUUUCAUUUUUAAAAUUUUUUUUUGUAAUUAUUGAUUUUGUUUGCUGGUAAAAAUGUACUCGGUAAUUACAUAACAACAUUUGAUUAAAUAUAAAAAAUAAUAGUGUUGACGUUAAUUACAAAACAAACAUCCGAUUAUAAUUAAUUAAAUAUCAAAAGUCAUAAUAUCCGAUUAAAUAUAAAAAGUAUUAAUAUCGUCUGGUAUUAGUGUCGCCGGUAAUUACAAAAAACAACCAAAGUUUUACAAUCUACCAAGUAGCAAAGCAUGACAACGUAUGCAAAUAAAACUCAUCCUGACCUACAUACCAUCAUCUUCGUUCCCAUCGUUUCCUCGAUUAUUUUGGGAAUGAAAAAACGAAUGCAGCUCAUCCCUACAUGCCGGGUCGUUCAGCAUGGCACAAAGAUUUUCCAACUACAUAAUUAAUAACAACAUAUAUAAACUUAUAAGUUCAAUUAUCAAACAUAAACAAAAACUAUCAAAAUACAUUGUUAUUUUUAAACUAAGACAAGAAACCAAAGUACGUUGUUAUUUUUGCACUUGGGACACAAAUCUAAUUACCAAAGUUUUUAGCAAAUAAUCACCACAAAACCAAAAUUACCAAAUCAACAUGCAUUUUACGAUGCUAAAGUAGAUUGCUAUUUUUAAACUAAGACCAAAAACCAAUGUACGUUGUUAUUUUUUGCAUUUGGGACAAAAACCUAAUUACCAAAGUUUUUAGCAAAUAAUCACUACAAAACCAAAAUUACCAAAUCAACAUACAUUUUACGAUGCUAAAGUAGAUUGUUAUUUUUAAACUAAAAAAAAACCAAAGUACGUUGUUAUUUUUUGCACCUGGGACAAAAACCUAAUUACCAAACUUUUUAGCAAAUAAUCACCACAAAACCAAAAUUACCAAAUCAACAUACAUUUUACGAUGCUAAAGUAGAUUGUUAUUUUUAAACUAAGACAAAAAAACCAAAGUACGUUGUUAUUUUUUGCACUUUGGACAAAAACCUAAUUACCAAACUGUUUAGCAAAUAAUCACCACAAAACCAAAGUAGAUUGUUUUACCUGUGAUGGUUGUGGUGAUGGUUGCGAAGGCUGUGGAAUCGGCGGGAGAGUAGAAGGUUUAUGGCCGAUGCCUCUAAUAUGGCUACGUCGCUCUCCUAAUACUUUCUCUAACACAGUUCUUUCUUGAGUGGGUGUUAACUGACUUUCACCUUGAGUUUGUUCUAACAACUAUUCAACUAACCGAUUUUAUAACUUCUAAAAGUGAGUAACAAUUAAGUAUAAAUAAACAUUUAACUAUAUGAUAAAAUUAUAAUUAAAUACUUACAUAUUGUUGUUCCGCCUCAGUUGUAACAAAUACAUCAUUCUUAUCGGUAUGAGCUUUGCGAAACGUUUCCACUCUCUUAAGGUUCUGUUUAACUUUAAAAAUUAGAUUAUAUUUUAAAUAAAUAAUUACAUAUAUCGUACGUUACCUUCUUAUAGCAACUACUGCUAUACGAGCUCGACCCCCACGAUUCGCAUUUGUUUGCAUUUCACGGAUUUUUUUGUUCUUUUCUGAAGCAAUUAUGUGUUCGUUUGUUUGGAAAUACUCAACUGCUUUUUUCCACUUAUCAACUUCCAUACCCUCUGGAGGGUUGGCUAUUGCUCUCGGGAUAUCUUCAUACCCUCCGACUAACAUAAAAUAUUCUUUUGCGUCAGCUUUACGUUCUCGAUAACCUUUUAACAAAGCUGCUUGGAAACUCUCUGUCAACAUAUUAACUUGUCAUCUCGGUACAUCUAAUCUAAAUCAAACUUUGUCUACAAAUAAAAAAGUUAACCAAGUAAAAAACAAUUAUAGUUAACCAUAUAAAAUAUAUUUAAAUAAAUAACUGCCGCUAAAUGUUGUAAUACGGUGUCCUGUAUUGCAGGGGAAACUUUUUUCCAAGUGCAUUUAUCAAAAGGGACCAUCUGCCACAUUGUUUUUCCAACUUCUCGGGAAAACAUGUCUUUCGGCUCUCCUACGGGAUCAAAUGUGAUAUCCCUAUCAUAUUCCAUGCUAAUCGGUUUGCCCUGGUUCCAUAAGAUCGUUUUUUCAAGCUUUAUAUUUUUCGAUUUGCCUCGAACUUUCCUUUGUGCAAGUUGCUCAACUACAAAUGUAAUUAAAAAUUAUUAGAAACGGUAUUUAAUUUAUAAUAGCUGAACAAAAAUAGUAAACAACAAUUCAUAACAAGACUUACCGUCCUGCUCGUGAUGACCAACACCUCUACCACCUGGGAGAGGUGCGUCCUCAGCUCCAUCACCCCCCGUGUCCACGACCCAUAACAGCUGCCAUGGUAUACAUAAACAAAAGCCAUAUUGUCAUCAUUUCUUGAAAAACUUAUAAGAUAUACAAAUAUAAUUUUUAUUACAAAUACACAUUACAUAGAAAUAAACAUUUACAUAGGAAUAAACAUUUCUAUUUAAACAAGAACUGUUCUAAUCAGAAUAUUCCUCAUAUCCUUCGGUGUCUUCUUCUGUAUCAUAAUCAUAAUCGGUCUCAUCGUAAUCAGUUUCGCAAUCAGAAACAUCAUUGACUAUACCAGUAUAGCAUCCUACUUAUACCAAAACCACAUACUUUUCCACAUAAUACACAAGAGAAUGAAAUUCACAUACUUUCACACACAUAUACCACGUAUACACCAAAUACAAAUACAUUCACAUACACACAAAAUAACAUCCUACUUAAAUUAAAUACACAUAUUUUCACAUAUAUAGCUAAUAACAUCCUAUUUAUACCAAAUACAAAAAUUUCACAAUCAUAUACCACAUUUACGACAAACAUACAUAUAUUCACAUACACACAAUAACAUCCUACUUAUAACAAAUACAUAUAAUUUCACAUAUAUAUAGAUAAUAACAUCAUGUAUAUACUUCUACCAAAUACUCAUACACCACAUAUACAUCAAACACACAUACAUUGGCAUAUAUACACCAAAUUCACAUAUAUUUAUACAAAUACCAAAUAUACAAUCUAAUUUUCACAUAUGGCAAUUUUCACAUACAAAUACGAAAUUCACAAAAAAAUGAAAUAAUAGAACCUGUAGUGGCGGAAAUCAACGGAUAUGUAGCCGGAAAAUUUGGUCUUCACCCGAAAAUACCCUCACCGGUAAACCCAAAGACAACACCACCAAAAACACUGAAAUUAAACAAUUUAUUGCAAUUUAAUCAUCAAAUUCGGCUCUUAAUAAUCACCAAAUGUCCCUAAAGACUAAACUACAAAUGGAAGUAAUACAAGAAUCAAAUUCAUUUUUUUUUCUAAUCCAAAGACAACACCACCAAAAACAAGAAAUUGAACAACUUAUGGCCAUUUAAUCAUCAAAUGCAGCUACAAAUCGAAAUUAACAUACAAAUUAAAAAGGAAACAACAAAAUCAACUAACAUUUCUUCAAGAAAUAAAGCUAGAAAUCGGUCAUAAAAGCCCUAACCACCCCUUGAUCCUUAAUCUCACACAAUGUGGGGAGAUAUGUAGUUGGAACAACCUAAUUGAAGACAAACUCGGUAGAAGCUGAAAGAGGCGUAGUGUGGGAUGCAACAAACAGAAAGCAAAAUGGGAGAAAUGAAGAAACUGCGUGCAUUUUUUUAUCUGCGAGAGCCUUUAGCGGCGACAAUUAGGGAUUUACCGACGACAACGGUCAAUAGCGGAGACAAUCUGAAGGGAAGGGUACCGCGUCAUUUUUUAACUAACUAUUAACGUCGACAUUUUUACCUUUUAGCGGCGACACAUAUGUCGCCGGUAUUAGGUUAGUGCGGAUAAGGGACCCCAACCGUUGGAUUGGAUAUUUGAUUGAACGACUUAGAUGUAACGGAGGGGGAAAACACGGAUUCAGGUGAUAACCCUUUAGCGGCGACGUGUAAUUUUAGCGGCGACUCUAGCAUUUAUCGCCGCUAAAAGUCCACGUCGCAGGUAAUAGUGUCGCCGCUAAAGGGUGAUAUUCUUGUAGUGUAUCAUUUGUUAAUAUAUUUGUGGGAAUGCAGACUUUUAUUUAUAGUAUAUUACGCCUUAGUUGGUGGAAACAAUCAAAGUAUGAGUACUGAAGUGUAAAUUUAACAACAUAGGAAGCAGACUGCUAUGAUAUGGUAAAAACUUUUUUUUUUNNNNNNNNNNNNNNNNNNNNNNNNNNNNNNNNNNNNNNNNNNNNNNNNNNNNNNNNNNNNNNNNNNNNNNNNNNNNNNNNNNNNNNNNNNNNNNNNNNNNUAAUUUUGGGUGAGUAUCUAAUACUUGUAUUCGUAUUUGAGGAAUGAGAGAGAUGUGAUCAUAUUUCUAAUUUUUCUGUAUAUAUUUAUGUUUAUUUUUCUACUCUGAAACGAACACUGAAAACAUAAAAAUCUCACAACAAAUGUAUCAUAAAGAAUUAAAACUUCUACUAGGAAUAAUUCCGAUGUUAGUUGUUUCUAGUUAAGUUGCACGGAAACGGAUACGGCAAUGGGAAACAGAACGGAAACGGGAAAUGACAAAACUCAAAAAUUCAAGAUACGGAUAGGGCAAAGAUACGGCAAUAUAAAAAUACUAUAUANNNNNNNNNNNNNNNNNNNNNNNNNNNNNAGGUUGGUAUAUUGAUGUACUUGAUCCUUGUGUUUCUUGUUCCUGUGAGGCCAUAAUAAUCGAUUUCUGAAUUGGUGAGUGUUGAAUUACUGAAUUUUUUCUUGUUCAGUUAUUCUUGAUCGUCGACAGGAAGGUGCGCAAGGCAGUAAACGACUUCGACUAUAAUUAUCCAGGGAGACAGCGAUCAGUGAAAGUUGUAGGGUAAUUACAGCCCGUUACUCCAUUAGCCUAUUUGGACUUGAAAAGCCCACGCAAAAUAAAAAAGAAUCAGAAAACUUUGUGGAAACUUACCCGAAACGUUUCUGGAUUUGUUUAUAUGUCCAAGAAACGUUUCACUACCGUUUCCCCUACAUAUUCGUUUCCCCCCGAGUAUCUGAUACGGGUACGGCGCCCUAACUGCCGUUUCCAUUCGUGAUAGGUUUCUAGUAUCUUUAGUUCGAACUCUAUAUUGGUUAAUUCAGUUAAAAUCAAAAUGUUCAGUGAAAAUACGAAUAUAAUGUCUUUAAAAAAACAAAUUGAACGAAUAUAAUGUCUUUAAAAAAACAAACAUAAGGGAGUAGUUUGUUUGUCACCGGCGAUUUUUCCAACAACAUUUAUAAAUUAUGGCCAUGUAAAUUAUUCAUUUAUAUUUUGAAAUAUAAAAAUAAAUCGGAAAAUAAAGAUACCGAUGUAAAUUAUUCAUUUAUAUUUUUAAAUAUAAAAAUAAAUCGGAAAAUGAAGAUACUGAUCAUUUUUCCUUUUUUCCUGAAGUCCUAUCCUCUUGGAGCGUUUUGACGAAGUGAACCCGUGGAUUAACCGAAACCAUAGAUCAAUAGCAUCGUCUAACCAAUUUAACCAUGUGUUAUUGCUGAUGCAAAUCAUCCAAUCAUCACUGAUAAAACUAUAUCGUUGAUACCUCGGAUACUCACAGAAAGUCGGUUCAAUUUGGAAAUGGUUCGAUCAUAAAAUUCUCUAAAUUAAAAAAAGACAUCAAUUGUAAAGGAACAACUUCUUCCAUUUUUUCUCUCUAACAGACAGCGUAAUACUUUUAAACAAAGUACUUUAAAUAAUAUAUAACCAUGUAAAUAAAUAUAAACGGUUUUUCAAACUUACAUUUCGAUCAAUGUGGACAACGAAGAGUUUGUACGUGCUAACAUCUCUCUAAAUGAAAUCCACUAUGACCAAUUGUCAAAAUAUACCAUAAAUAAGGAUUUAGUAGCAAUGAAAAGAUGUUAACAUAUGUGUGUCCAUCCAUGAUUCUACAAAAAAAUUCAAUGCUAACUUUAUUUAUUGGGUAUAAAUAAUAAUAAUAAAUAUUAUUUAAAUAAGUUUGAGAUCGACUACAAGGGUGAAAGAAAGAAAGAUGUGGAGUAUUAUGGCACACAGGUGGAGUAUUGAGAACAACUAUUCAUCAAACAUUUUUAUGUAAGUUUGCAUGAAAUUCGACUAUGAGUCGUCAAUACGGAUACACAGCUUGUGUCAUAAUAGAAUUUUAAGUAGAUUUACAUAAAAAGUUUGAUGAAUAGUUAUUUUCAAUAACCCACACGUAUCAUAUCCCACAUCUCCCUUUCUCUCACCCUUAAUAGUAGAUCUCAAACUUAUUUAAAUAAUUAUUAUUAUAAUUACUUACACCCAAUAAAUAAAGUUAGCAUUGAAUUUUUUUUUUGUAGAAUCAUGGAUGGUGAAUUUUUUUUUUGUAGAAUCAUGGAUGGACACACGUAUGUUGACACAUUUUCAGUGCUACUAAACCCUCAUUUGUGGUAUAUUUUAACAACCGGUCCUAGUGGGUUUCAUUUGGAAAGAUGUUAGCUCGUACAAACUGUUCAUUGUCCACAGUGAUCUAAAUGUAAGUUUGAAAAACCAUUUAUAUUUUAUUUACAUGGUUAUAUAUUUAUUUAAAGUACUUUGUUUAAAAGUAUUAUGUUGUCUAUUAGAGAGAAAAAAUGGUAAGAGUUGCUCCUCUACAAUUGAUGGCUUUCUUUAAUUUAGAGAAUCUAUAGAGAGGGGUUUCUCCUUGAACCAUUUCCAAAUUAAACCAACCUAUUGUGUGUAUACAACAAUAUUGUCAAUAGCAUCAUCGCGAUCACUAAAGCGAAUAGUGAGACAAGGCAAUGAAGUGUGUCGGUAUGGGGUUCAUAGCGACUGAAUAGCGAAUAGCAAAUAUCGAAUAGCGAAUAGCGACAUGGCGACCUGUUCAUUUUUUUAUAAAUCUUGUAUAAAUAGUCCCAUUAUAGGGUUUUUAGUUGACUAAGUCAAAGAGUGCAUCGAAUAUCUAAAAUUAACACUUGUUUUUUUUUUGUAAUAUACAUGUUUUAGAACUGAUUUGAACUAUUAUUCUUGGUUUUUAACUUAUUUAUUUGUUAUAAUUGCUAAUUAGGCGAGGUAAAAAUAGUAUUAAUUUUUAAUAAGCAUUCUCUAAAAAAUGAAAUAGUAGUUAUUUCAUAGCUAUCGCUACAUAUCAUAUAGGUAGGUGGUUGCUAGUACCACGCUAUCGCUAUCGCUAUCAAUAACACCGAUAUACGAGGCAUCAAGGAUACAAUUUUAUCAGUGCUAUUAGAGGAUUCACAUCAGCAUAACACAUAACAUGGUAAAAUCGGCUAGGGCGAUACUAUUGAUUGAUGGUUUCUGUUUAUCUAUUGGUUUCCUCAGUCGCAACUCUCCAAGAAAAGGAUAGGACUUCAAGCCAAAUAAUCAAUGUGUUUUACUUUUGAUUUAUUUUUUAUAUCAUUUUUAUAUUUAAAAAUGAAAAUGAAUAAUGUUACAUGUCACGAUUUUUAAAUGUUGUUGGAAAAAUCAUUGGUGGCAAAUAAACUACUCCUUUAUGUUUGGCUUUUCAAAGGCAUUAUAUUCAUUCAAUUUGUUUCUUCCAAGAUAGAUUGUAAGUAUAUAUAUAUAUAUAUAUAUAUAUAUAUAUGUGNGUUAAUAUUUUGAACUAACAAUAAUUUAAACAACUAUUGACAAUAUUUUGUUAUAAAUAAGGGAAUCAAAUAAAGAUGAAGUUGCAUGUAACACCACGGAUACGGAAUCAAAUUGUAAAAACCUAAUACGUGUUAAAAAAACAUAUAAUAUACGAUUCUCGGGUAAAACUGGUUCAUUUAAAUUCAAAUAAGUUUCUUUUGUUUUAGAAAAUUUAUAUAUUUUUAUUGAUAUCAAAAUAAUUAAGAAAAUCCAUUUUAUUAAUUAUUAUCAUAUUUUCAGUUAACAUUUUGAUUUCAAAAUUAACCAACAUAGAGUUCGAACCAAGGAUACAAGAAACAACUAACAUCAUAAUUAUUCCUAGAAGAAUUAAAUUAGUGGUAAGAUUUUUAUAUUUUCAAUGUUUGUUAGUUUCAGACUUGGUCUAUUUUAUUGUCAAGCAUUUAGUGAUGAAUGUUUGAUAUUUUUGGUGUGUGUUUGUUUGAGACUUGAUCUAUAUCAUUAUCUUAUAUUUUUUUGGUGAAUGUUUUAUCUAUACAUAAUUUUUGUAUGUUGAAUUCUUCUUGAUUUACAGAUGUUUUACAUAUUGAUAAGUUUAUUAAUAUAUUGAUGUCAACAUGUUUACUAAUUUAUAUCUUUCAACUUCAAUUGUGAUUUUUUUUAUGUUGAUUUUUUUUUUCUGUUUCAUAUUUGCUAACAUGCUAAUUGUAUUUUAUUAUUUAUAACUGAAAUUACGAUUAACAAAUUUUACUAAAAACUCAAUUAAUCAUUCAUGAUUGCUUCAUCGGAAGUCCACGAGACAUGCAAAGAAGAUAUCUAGAUGCCAUGACUUUAGUUUAAGAUGGAGAGAGGCCUGAUAUUCUUUACAAUGACAUGCGACCCAAUAUUGAAAGAAUUGAUGAUGAACUGUUGAUAGGCAUUAAGAUCGACCAGAAUUAUGAGAGCUUUUUGUGCUAAGUUAGAGGAUUUCUAGGUAAUUAUUCAAGAAGCACACAAUCGAUGUGGUCAGUCAUAUGUUUAUUUUGUAGAGUUUCAAAACGUGGAGUGCCACAUGCAUAUUUCCUCUUAAUAAUAAGAGUUGGAUAUAAAUGGCGAGAGUUUGGAUAUAAAAUGACCAAUCCAGACAAUUAUGACAAAAUGGUGUGUGCCAAAUUCCAAACCUAAUAAGGUUUUCGAAAAUGCACGAUUUGGUCAAACGUUACAUGAUGCAUGGUCCUUGUGGUAUUUUACGAGAAAAAAGUAUGCAUAGUAUGCAGGGUGUGCCAAAUGAACGAUUCCAUACUUUUAAACCUUUGGGUAUAAGCGGUAAAAAGAUGAAUGUCCUGCAGUUACCAUGCCUGGAAUUUAUAAGUACAAAAAUUAAGAGUAUAAUUCUUUAAUAGGUAACGAAAAACAAACAAAUUUAGUUUCUUAGUGAGAAAAUAAUAAAAGUGACAGCCUCAAAGACUAAUAUGGUGAUAUGUUAAUUAUGACGCACGGAGAUGGUUACAUGGUCUAGUACUAGCAAAAACAAAAUCAUUGGUUGUGUAUGUUAAGAAAGGCAGGUAUUAGAUUCACUACAAGAAUAUCACCCUUUAGCGGCGACACUAUUACCGGCGACGUGGACUUUUAGCGGCAACAAAUGCUACAGUCGCCUCUAAAAGUUCACGUCGUCGGUAAUAGCAUCGCCGUUAAAGGGUCAUCACCCGAAUCUGCGUUUUCCCCCUCCGUUACAUCUAAGCCGUUCGAUCAAAUAUUCAAUCCAAUGGUUGGGGUACCCCUUAUCCGCACUAACCUAAUACCAGUGACAUGUGUCGCCGCUAAAAGGUAAAAAUGUCGUCGCUAAUAGUUAGCUAAAAAAUGACGCGGUACCCUUCCCUCCAGAUUGUCGCCGCUAUUGACCUUUGUCGCCGGUAAAGACCUAAUUGUCGCCGCUAAAAGUGUCGCAGCUAAAGGCUCUCGCAGAUAAAAAAAAAACACACAGUUUAUUUCUCCCAUUUUGCUUUCUGUUUGUUGCAUCCCACACUUCGCCUCUUUCAGCUUUUACCGAGUUUGUCUUCAAUUAGGUUGUUCCAACUAUAUAUCUCCCCACAUUGUGUGAGAUUAAGGAUCAAGGGGUGGUUAGGGCUUUUAUGACCGAUUUCUAGCUUUAUUUCUUGAAGAAAUGUUAGUUGAUUUUGUUGUUUCCUUUUUAAUUUGUAUGUUAAUUUCGAUUUGUAGCUGCAUUUGAUGAUUAAAUGGCCAUAAGUUGUUCAAUUUCUUGUUUUUUGGUGGUGUUGUCUUUGGAUUCCUCAAAUACGAAUACAAGUAUUAGAUACUCACCCAAAAUUAAGUAAUAUUUGAUCUUUCUUUAAGAAAAUUAGCAAACUUUUUGAAAUAACAGAUUAAUAUAAUACAAAUGUAAUAUGUUUAUUUGAACUAAUUAAUAAAAUUCCAAAUCUAGUUUUUUAUAUUAUGUUAAAUAUUCAACAAUGCUUAAGGAUCCACAUAUUUUGAUUAACCAAUUAAAUCCGUCAAUCCCAUGACUGUAUACUUUAAAAAUCUCAACUUUGAUUUGGUUUUGAUUUAUAGCUUUUUACUUAGAUUUAUUUCCCUUUAAAACAUUAUACUUCUACUUUUUUCAUAUUAAGGUAUUGUAUUUUGAAAAACUAAUCAAGCUUACUACUUUAAUUUAAUGCAUUAUGCUAUUAUGCUUUCAAUGGUGAUUGGCUCUUCCAGGUAAAUGGCAUAUCAUUACUGGUUAGAAAAAGUAAAGAGUUACAAUGUAAUACAUUCAAUAUGUGAUUUAUUCUGACAUUGUAUAUAAUUUCUUAUUAAGAUAUUGCACUUCAAAAUCCAACAUAUUAAUACAUUUUACCAUUAACAUUUAAACUUGUUUCUUCAUCCAACUAUUGGAUAAUUGAAAUAGUUUCAUUUUUAGCGUUGUACUUUCAUGAUAUUAUAUCGUUAUAUUUUUAUCUAUUAUAACAUCAUUCUUUCAUUUAUAGCAUCACACUUUCAACUUUCUUCUUAUUAUCACAUUAUCAUAUGAAAAUGCAACCCAUUUUUAUCGGUGAAGAUUAAUUUGUUUUUGGAUGACAUUGUAAUAGUUGGGUAGGAUUUCCAAAGCACAUUGCUAUAAUAGUAAGAAAUAAAAGUAAACAAAUAAAUACAAGUACACUGCUAGUUCUUACAUUUAACUUGUUUAGGAAAUUAUGUAGUUCAUUUCUUGCCCACAACAUACUUCCAUUUAUUUGUUACUAUAUAUAUCCUUUACUUUAAUAUCUUUCUGUUACAAAAUUGUGCUUUCAGUCUUUUCUUAUUAAGGCACUUAAGAAUCUACCCAAUUAUAGCAUUUUUAGCUGCUUUCUAUAAUAAACAAAGAAUACUUUUAGACACCAUUUAAGAUUUCUGAGAAAACAAAAAAAAAAAGUUUUUACCAUAUCAUAGCAGUCUGCUUCCUAUGUUGUUAAAUUUACACUUCAGUACUCAUACUUUGAUUGUUUCCACCAACUAAGGCGUAAUAUACUAUAAAUAAAAGUCUGCAUUCCCACAAAUAUAUUAACAAAUGAUACACUACAAGAAUAUCACCCUUUAGCGGCGACACUAUUACCUGCGACGUGGACUUUUAGCGGCGAUAAAUGCUAGAGUCGCCGCUAAAAUUACACGUCGCCGCUAAAGGGUUAUCACCUGAAUCCGUGUUUUCCCCCUCCGUUACAUCUAAGUCGUUCAAUCAAAUAUCCAAUCCAACGGUUGGGGUCCCUUAUCCGCACUAACCUAAUACCGGCGACAUAUGUGUCGCCGCUAAAAGGUAAAAAUGUCGACGUUAAUAGUUAGUUAAAAAAUGACGCGGUACCCUUCCCUUCAGAUUGUCUCCGCUAUUGACCGUUGUCGUCGGUAAAUCCCUAAUUGUCGCCGCUAAAGGCUCUCGCAGAUAAAAAAAUGCACGCAGUUUCUUCAUUUCUCCCAUUUUGCUUUCUGUUUGUUGCAUCCCACACUACGCCUCUUUCAGCUUCUACCGAGUUUGUCUUCAAUUAGGUUGUUCCAACUACAUAUCUCCCCACAUUGUGUGAGAUUAAGGAUCAAGGGGUGGUUAGGGCUUUUAUGACCGAUUUCUAGCUUUAUUUCUUGAAGAAAUGUUAGUUGAUUUUGUUGUUUCCUUUUUAAUUUGUAUGUUAAUUUCGAUUUGUAGCUGCAUUUGAUGAUUAAAUGGCCAUAAGUUGUUCAAUUUCUUGUUUUUGGUGGUGUUGUCUUUGGAUUAGAAAAAAAAAUGAAUUUGAUUCUUGUAUUACUUCCAUUUGUAGUUUAGUCUUUAGGGACAUUUGGUGAUUAUUAAGAGCCGAAUUUGAUGAUUAAAUUGCAAUAAAUUGUUUAAUUUCAGUGUUUUUGGUGGUGUUGUCUUUGGGUUUACCGGUGAGGGUAUUUUCGGGUGAAGACCAAAUUUUCCGGCUACAUAUCCGUUGAUUUCCGCCACUACAGGUUCUAUUAUUUCAUUUUUUUGUGAAUUUCGUAUUUGUAUGUGAAAAUUGCCAUAUGUGAAAAUUAGAUUGUAUAUUUGGUAUUUGUAUAAAUAUAUGUGAAUUUGGUGUAUAUAUGCCAAUGUAUGUGUGUUUGAUGUAUAUGUGGUGUAUGAGUAUUUGGUAGAAGUAUAUACAUGAUGUUAUUAUCUAUAUAUAUGUGAAAUUAUAUGUAUUUGUUAUAAGUAGGAUGUUAUUGUGUGUAUGUGAAUAUAUGUAUGUUUGUUGUAAAUGUGGUAUAUGAUUGUGAAAUUUUUGUAUUUGGUAUAAAUAGGAUGUUAUUAGCUAUAUAUGUGAAAAUAUGUGUAUUUAAUUUAAGUAGGAUGUUAUUUUGUGUGUAUGUGAAUGUAUUUGUAUUUGGUGUAUACGUGGUAUAUGUGUGUGAAAGUAUGUGAAUUUCAUUUUCUUGUGUAUUAUGUGGAAAAGUAUGUGGUUUUGGUAUAAGUAGGAUGCUAUACUGGUAUAGUCAAUGAUGUUUCUGAUUGCGAAACUGAUUACGAUGAGACCGAUUAUGAUUAUGAUACAGAAGAAGACACCGAAGGAUAUGAGGAAUAUUCUGAUUAGAACAGUUCUUGUUUAAAUAGAAAUGUUUAUUCCUAUGUAAAUGUUUAUUUCUAUGUAAUGUGUAUUUGUAAUAAAAAUUAUAUUUGUAUAUCUUAUAAGUUUUUCAAGAAAUGAUGACAAUAUGGCUUUUGUUUAUGUAUACCAUGGCAGCUGUUAUGGGUCGUGGACACGGGGGGUGAUGGAGCUGAGGACGCACCUCUCCCAGGUGGUAGAGGUGUUGGUCAUCACGAGCAGGACGGUAAGUCUUGUUAUGAAUUGUUGUUUACUAUUUUUGUUCAGCUAUUAUAAAUUAAAUACCGUUUCUAAUAAUUUUUAAUUACAUUUGUAGUUGAGCAACUUGCACAAAGGAAAGUUCGAGGCAAAUCGAAAAAUAUAAAGCUUGAAAAAACGAUCUUAUGGAACCAGGGCAAACCGAUUAGCAUGGAAUAUGAUAGGGAUAUCACAUUUGAUCCCGUAGGAGAGCCGAAAGACAUGUUUUCCCGAGAAGUUGGAAAAACAAUGUGGCAGAUGGUCCCUUUUGAUAAAUGCACUUGGAAAAAAGUUUCCCCUGCAAUACAGGACACCGUAUUACAACAUUUAGCGGCAGUUAUUUAUUUAAAUAUAUUUUAUAUGGUUAACUAUAAUUGUUUUUUACUUGGUUAACUUUUUUAUUUGUAGACAAAGUUUGAUUUAGAUUAGAUGUACCGAGAUGACAAGUUAAUAUGUUGACAGAGAGUUUCCAAGCAGCUUUGUUAAAAGGUUAUCGAGAACGUAAAGCUGACGCAAAAGAAUAUUUUAUGUUAGUCGGAGGGUAUGAAGAUAUCCCGAGAGCAAUAGCCAACCCUCCAGAGGGUAUGGAAGUUGAUAAGUGGAAAAAAGCAGUUGAGUAUUUCCAAACAAACGAACACAUAAUUGCUUCAGAAAAGAACAAAAAAAUCCGUGAAAUGCAAACAAAUGCGAAUCGUGGGGGUCGAGCUCGUAUAGCAGUAGUUGCUAUAAGAAGGUAACGUACGAUAUAUGUAAUUAUUUAUUUAAAAUAUAAUCUAAUUUUUAAAGUUAAACAGAACCUUAAGAGAGUGGAAACGUUUCGCAAAGCUCAUACCGAUAAGAAUGAUGUAUUUGUUACAACUGAGGCGGAACAACAAUAUGUAAGUAUUUAAUUAUAAUUUUAUCAUAUAGUUAAAUGUUUAUUUAUACUUAAUUGUUACUCACUUUUAGAAGUUAUAAAAUCGGUUAGUUGAAUAGUUGUUAGAACAAACUCAAGGUGAAAGUCAGUUAACACCCACUCAAGAAAGAACUGUGUUAGAGAAAGUAUUAGGAGAGCGACGUAGCCAUAUUAGAGGCAUCGGCCAUAAACCUUCUACUCUCCCGCCGAUUCCACAGCCUUCGCAACCAUCACCACAACCAUCACAGGUAAAACAAUCUACUUUGGUUUUGUGGUGAUUAUUUGCUAAACAGUUUGGUAAUUAGGUUUUUGUCCAAAGUGCAAAAAAUAACAACGUACUUUGGUUUUUUUGUCUUAGUUUAAAAAUAACAAUCUACUUUAGCAUCGUAAAAUGCAUGUUGAUUUGGUAAUUUUGGUUUUGUGGUGAUUAUUUGCUAAAAAGUUUGGUAAUUAGGUUUUUGUCCCAGGUGCAAAAAAUAACAACGUACUUUGGUUUUUUUUUAGUUUAAAAAUAACAAUCUACUUUAGCAUCGUAAAAUGUAUGUUGAUUUGGUAAUUUUGGUUUUGUAGUGAUUAUUUGCUAAAAACUUUGGUAAUUAGGUUUUUGUCCCAAAUGCAAAAAAUAACAACGUACAUUGGUUUUUGGUCUUAGUUUAAAAAUAGCAAUCUACUUUAGCAUCGUAAAAUGCAUGUUGAUUUGGUAAUUUUGGUUUUGUGGUGAUUAUUUGCUAAAAACUUUGGUAAUUAGAUUUGUGUCCCAAGUGCAAAAAUAACAACGUACUUUGGUUUCUUGUCUUAGUUUAAAAAUAACAAUGUAUUUUGAUAGUUUUUGUUUAUGUUUGAUAAUUGAACUUAUAAGUUUAUAUAUGUUGUUAUUAAUUAUGUAGUUGGAAAAUCUUUGUGCCAUGCUGAACGACCCGGCAUGUAGGGAUGAGCUGCAUUCGUUUUUUCAUUCCCAAAAUAAUCGAGGAAACGAUGGGAACGAAGAUGAUGGUAUGUAGGUCAGGAUGAGUUUUAUUUGCAUACGUUGUCAUGCUUUGCUACUUGGUAGAUUGUAAAACUUUGGUUGUUUUUUGUAAUUACCGGCGACACUAAUACCAGACGAUAUUAAUACCUUUUAUAUUUAAUCGGAUAUUAUGACUUUUGAUAUUUAAUUAAUUAUAAUCGGAUGUUUGUUUUGUAAUUAACGUCAACACUAUUAUUUUUUAUAUUUAAUCAAAUGUUGUUAUGUAAUUACCGAGUACAUUAUUACCAGCAAAAAAUAACAAUGUACUUUGGUUUUUUGUUUUAGUUUAAAAAUAACAAUGUAUUUUGAUAGUUUUGUUUAUGUUUGAUUAUUUAACUUAUAAGUUUAUAUAUGUUGUUAUUAAUUAUGUAGUUGGAAAAUCUUCGUGCAAUGUUGAACGACCCGACAUGUAGGGAUAAGCUGUAUUCGUUUUUUAAAUCUCAAUAAUCGAGGAAACGAUGAGAAUGACGAUGAUGGUAUGUAGGCCAGAUGAUUUUUUUUUUGUAUAUGUUGUCACACUUUGCUACUUGGUAGAUUGUAAACCUUUGGUUGUUUUUUGUAAUUACCGGCGACACUAAUACUGGACGUCAUUAUUACUUUUUAUUUUUAAUCUGAUAUUAUGACUUUUGAUAUUUAAUUAAUUAUAAUCGGAUGUUUGUUUUGUAAUUAGCGUCGACACUAUUAUUUUUGAUAUUUAAUUGAAUGUUGUUAUGUAAUUACCGAGUACAUUAUUACCGGCAACCAAAAUCGUUAAUUACAAAAAAAAUUAACAAAAAAAAAUGAAAAUUGUAAUUACUGGUGACAGAGUUAUUACCGGCGACAUGGUCAUUAACGGCGACAUCUAUCAUUAUCAGCGACACAGUCACUAACGGCGACAUCUAUCAUUAGCGGUGACAAGUUCAUCAAUAGCGAUGAAGUAGUAGCGACGACUUAUUACCGGCCGCUAUUACUAUUACCGGCGACAACUUGACUUAUUACUGGCGAUUUUUGUCGCCGCUAAUGAUCGUUUUCCUUGUAGUGUUAUGUAAUGAUAAGUAAAUUGUUUCACAUUUAGUAUAAGGAUAUUGCCUUACACCUACCACUUUUGCCUAGCAUCACAUAGAAAAUUACAAAUAAAAUGGAAAUACACUAAUGAAACAAGCAAGAUUUUAAAAAAAAAAAAAAACAAAAGGGAUCAAAACUUACAGGUGACCCAUGGCCAUCGGAAUCCACUUUGUUGUUUUUUUUAUUAAACAAUGAUUUCAUUCCACAACACUGAUGGAGUUCAUCUCACCUAAUUUUGUAAGUAUGCAAACUUUAGACACCAAGUAACAAGUAGAAUCACAAUAAAGAUCGCAUAUUAUUGGAUAUGCAUUCUUUGUUAAAAAUGCAUAGAGGAAAAAGCAGGAAAAGGAAAAAAGAAAAAUAAUGCUUUAUGACUGUUGUAGACCAUAAUUCCAUAAGAAAAACCACUUCAUGAUGUUUCUUAGUACCAAAUAAAAGACAUUUAAAAGUAAUAAACAAAUCAUCUAGUCAACAUAACUAGAUAACAAUAGGAGUGAACUACAACUACACUGCCUGCCAAUUCAUGAAGCCACGUGUCCAUUAAAGAUACAAGAAAAAGAGGUUAUCAUGUUAUGGCCAUGAAAAUUUACAUAUUAAAUAUAGAAAUAUGAGUAGAUCCAAGAGUUUGACAUAAUUCUAUUAUUAGUAAUAUGCAGAUCAAAGAAAGAGAUACAGGAAACAAAUUAAAUAUAGUUUAACUUAUGGAGUCCUAUAUGAUCACAUAAAUUUGAAUAAAACCUGGUGAUCUCAUAAAAUUAUUUUUUCAUAACAUUGAAUCUACAAAACGUUCUCAAACGAGCAACAAAACUAACCAAACACACCAGACUUUAUCUAUCAAAUGAUCAACAACACACUACCACAGAAACAAAACUAAAAAAUCAGAUUUUACAGAAAAAAAAAAUCAACGAAAAGAAGAUGAAGAAGACAGGGUGAUAGUAGAAUCCUAAACUAGAAAGAGUAAAAUCAAAAACCUAAUUGACAGAAGAAAAUCACAUCAUCAUUCUCAAUUACAGAAAAAACCCUAUAAACGUAAAAUAAAGAAAAGAAUAAAAAUAAUGAAACUUCCAGAGAGUUCUUCGAUUGCAGACAUGCAAUGGAUAGAUUUGGGUCUUGGGCGAACGUAGUUAGAGAGAUAUACAUGGGUCCAGGGGUGUUUGUAUUUUUUAAAGGAAAUUUCCGAUAAAGUCUCAAUAUUUUGGCCUAAUUUAUGGUUUAAUCUCAACUUUUAUUUUUUAAAUAGAAAAGUCCUAAUUAUUUUAUAUUUUGCCCAAAUUAACAAAAUAGUCUUUAAUUUUUUUUUUAUAGAAAAUGACAGAUUAUCAAAUAAAAUUAUAGAUAUUUUGGACUUUUCUGUUCAAAAUAUAAAUGUUGGGAUUAAACGGUAUAGUGACCCAAAAUAUUGAGACUUUAUCAGAGAUAUCAAUUUCUUUAAUCCUUUUUACGUCUAUUUUUUACAUAUAAUUUAUGGAUGUGCAGAUAUAACUUAUAAGAUGUCGGAUAUGUAAAUAUUAUGAGUUUGAAUUCUUCUAUCUUUUGAGACCAAAGCUUUAAUUUUGUUAAAUUCAUGCGUUGAACUACCAAAUAACAAAUAAUAGAGAUCAAGCGAUUACCCAAUGUUUCAUCAAGACAUUUUUUUCUUUUUUCAAAUUGUAAAUUAUUAUGACAUUUAAGCAAUAUAAUAAUUUAAUUGGUUAUACUUAUAAAUAAAUGAUAUUGAUUUAUAGGCUCACUUGCAUUUUUUUUAUAUAACUAUGUUCUUAUAGAACACAAUGUUUACUUGUAUAUUUAUAAGGGAUAGUGGCAAAAAUAACAACAUCAAUUAAAGAAUUUGACCCACUUUUUUUUCUUUAUAUCGAAACGACCCUUCAGUAUGGAAUGGACAUUUUGGAUUUAGGACAUUAUAUAAUUCAGGUUUAGUUUUUUAUUUGCACCAUCCAUUCCAAUUUAGUUUCUUUCAAAACGGUGUAUAAUCUUCAACAUUGAUAUAUUUUGCUUUUAUUUGGAUUGAGCGCCCAAAGUGGCCUAUAUGUCAGUUUUAAACGUUAAAAUAACAUCUUUUCGUUUCUAUGCUUGAUAUGUUGCAAUUCAUUUUAUCACAUAAGCCCCUGCUUAGUAGUAUGUGCCCGAAAUAGGACAUUCCUAACAGACGUGAAAAGAUGUUAUUAUAUUGACACCCACGAUCGAAAAAGACAUGAGGCUUUAGCGAUAUUAGAAAAAUAUGAUUGUUUCACCGAUCUAGGUUUAACUCCUCUCCCUGUUUAAAUUUCAUCUCCUUCUAAUUUCGAUCUAAGUUUGGAUCUUGAUUGAACGCCACUUGUGAUCCCCUUCAUCUCUCCGUCGCCUUCAGACAAAUAUUAAGCCAAUAUCGCCGACAUACACACCCCCCAUGCAUAGAUAGGGCUCAAAUCAAGAAAAAAAGGGAAGGACAUAUGAUUAAGCUUUAGAUGAAGGGGGAAGUGAUGCUAUUAACCCACUACAAUCUGAUUUCAAAUAAGCCCAUAAAGAUUUGUUUUAUUAUUUUUCAUAUAAAAGCAUUCUCACAAAAAUUUAUUCUUAAAUAAUUUGAUUUUGAUGAUAGUUAUUCUUAAAGAAUGC
rnacentral:lncRNA from 1 species